rnacentral:rRNA from 1 species
AUGUCCUCCUCUGCCGCAGCCAACUCCAACCUCUCGGGCCAGGUCACCGAGAGGCUAUCCCGCAUAAACUACGUCCUCUGGCGCACCCAAAUCACCCCGCAGAUCAAAGGAGCCGGCUUCUUCGGAUACGUGGAUGGAACCACGCCAGAGCCGGCCAAGCACGUCGUCACCAAGGACAAGGAUGGGAAAGAAGAAACAAUUCCCAAUCCUCUCCACUCGGUUUGGAUCCGAGAAGAUCAACAGGUAUUGGGCUAUUUGUUGAACAACCUGACCAAAGAAGUACUAGUGCAGGUCACCUCCAUCGAUCAUGCGCAUGAGCUCUGGGCAGCACUAGCAGGGAUG